AUUGCAGACGUCGUCGUCUCAGAGCCGGUUCUGUGAACUUGCGAUUUGUAUCCGCAGUUACGGCCCUGCAGUGUUUGGACGCUCUGCAGGCUCCAUGCAACCCCGGGAGGAAACACGAGUAAUAAAGGAGGCACCUGUCAUUCAGAGACCACAGCCAGGUACCACGGUCAGGCGAAGCCAAGCGGCGCUGUGAAGUGAAUCCAGUAGCACAGAACAGGAGAAGAGCAUUUAGUUUACAAUGACACUGUGAGCACGGCUGUCGACCCCCCAUGUGCCGGCAAACAUUACCGCCACCAACGCUUCACCUGCAAGGACACCCAUUUGUUGGAUGGAUCUGAAUUAAAUAAAUGCAGUGGGUCUGCUGCCGAAGUCACCCUGAACACGAGACUCCGGUGAUCAGGCACUGGAGGAGCUGAGAAGACAGUUAAUGCCACAAAAGACACAUUCUUUUAAAAAAAAAAAAAAACACCUUUCUGACGCAAGCUUGGAGGUGUGACUGCGACAGCAGCAUCUUUGCUUUCUCUCCACCAAAGAUCUGGAAUGUCUGCUAGUAGACCAUUAACACCUUUUUUUUUUUUUUACUCCGACAAGCAAAGAGUGCGCUUCCCUGACAGCGAGCGAGCUUUUCCACGACUCGGGGAGUGCGCAUGACACAGUCUCUCUUCGACACCCCAAGGAGACACCUUCCAUCGCUUGUCACAGUCACAUGCGAGGUUCCGGAGAUCCGCUGU